CACGUAGGGGGCAAGCGUUGUCCGGAUUUAUUGGGCGUAAAGAGCUCGUAGGCGGCUCAGUAAGUCGGGUGUGAAACCUCCAGGCUCAACCUGGAGACGCCACCCGAUACUGCUGUGGCUUGAGUCCGGUAGGGGAGCGUGGAAUUCCUGGUGUAGCGGUGAAAUGCGCAGAUAUCAGGAAGAACACCCGUGGCGAAGGCGGCUCUCUGGUACGUGACUGACGCUGAGACGCGAAAGCGUGGGGAGCAAAGCAGG
rnacentral:rRNA from 1 species